rnacentral:rRNA from 1 species
CAGUCGCCGCGGUAAAACGGAGGGUGCAAGCGUUAUCCGGAUUUAUUGGGUUUAAAGGGUCCGUAGGCGGACUUAUAAGUCAGUGGUGAAAGCCUGUCGCUUAACGAUAGAACUGCCAUUGAUACUGUAAGUCUUGAGUAUAUUUGAGGUAGCUGGAAUAAGUAGUGUAGCGGUGAAAUGCAUAGAUAUUACUUAGAACACCAAUUGCGAAGGCAGGUUACCAAGAUAUAACUGACGCUGAGGGACGAAAGCGUGGGUAGCGAACAGGAUUAGAUACCCCAGUAGUCCCUGUCUCUUAUAC